rnacentral:rRNA from 1 species
UACGGAGGGUGCGAGCGUUAUUCGGAAUCAUUGGGCGUAAAGCGCGUGUAGGCGGAAGGGCAAGUCUUUGUGUGAAAGCCCCGGGCUCAACCCGGGAAGAGCAUGGGAAACUGCCGCUUCUUGAGUCCCGGAGAGGAAGGGGGAAUUCCCGGUGUAGAGGUGAAAUUCGUAGAGAUCGGGAGGAACACCAGUGGCGAAGGCGCCCUUCUGGACGGGUUUUACUGACGCUGAGACGCGAAAGCGUGGGGAG